CUACUAGGCAGUGAUAUACGGUCUGCUCUUAGUGCAAAUAUCCAGUAUAGCCCCACUGGAAAAGUAACAUUGUCUGUGCCUUUGGAGGACAAACAAAUGAUAUCUCUUUCAAAUGUUCUGGCAACGCUCACUAUGCCCAGUCAUGUGACAGAACCUACCAUUGACUUGUCCUCAAUCCCUGAUUCCUUAAGGGCUACAGGGAAGACAGAUACAGGCAGACUCUCUCUGCCCGCAGUCAAAGUGAAUCUCCUGCCCGGAGCCAAACCUCCCUAUCAAAAACAAUACCCCCUAAGCCCAGCACAGAAAGAUGCUAUUUCCCAAUCUGUGCAAGACUUUCUGCAGGCAGGGGUAAUUGUCCAUAUUAGGCAGGGUGCAUAAACAAGUCUUUGAUUCUAUUCCAGAUCCAGACUCUGAUUCUGCAACUCACAAACUGCAGCCUGGUGAUUGGGUGGUGAUAAAGAGGCAUGUGAGGAAAGGACUUGAACCACGCUUUGACGGUCCAUUCCAAGUGCUCUUGACUACGGCUACCUCGGUGAAACUAAAAGGAAAAGCAACAUGGAUACACGCCAAUCACUCCGACUGAUCCAACGACAUGAAGCUGUUCUUAUCCUUUACCAUUGUAUGCUCUGUUCAGAUAUGCUACUCUGACUUGAGACCAGAAGAUGAUAAUGCAUAGCACGGAAAUAUAUAAUUGCAGAUAGCAAAGGCUUUUAAUUUAACCUCCUUUUGCCUCAACCCUCUCCUCAGUAAUGAAAACGCCAUAGGCUCUAGUCUUAUAGCUGUCCCUAUCCCCAUCUCACUCUUGAGGAAGUACCUACAUACCCAUAGACCCCAUAAAUAUCUACCCGAGUAAUUAAUGCUGUAGCCUGUUCCCUUGCAAAGGAUUUAAAUGCUACUUCACAGGCCCUAGAAGAGCUACUUAUGGACAAACAGGCAAAUAAGAAGGCAAUCCUUGAGAAUAGAGCAG